rnacentral:rRNA from 1 species
UACGUAGGGUGCAAGCGUUGUCCGGAAUUAUUGGGCGUAAAGAGCUCGUAGGCGGUUUGUCGCGUCGGCUGUGAAAACUCGGGGCUCAACCCCGAGCCUGCAGUCGAUACGGGCAAACUAGAGUGCUGUAGGGGAGACUGGAAUUCCUGGUGUAGCGGUGAAAUGCGCAGAUAUCAGGAGGAACACCGGUGGCGAAGGCGGUGGUCUGGGCCGGCACUGACGCUGAGGAGCGAAAGCGUGGGGAGCGAACAGG